GGAGCCGGCCGGGCGGCCGCGGGCGGUCUCGACCGUUCGAGGAAAGUCCGGACUCCGUAGGGCAGGGUGCUGGCGAGAGCCAGGCGGGGGCGACCUCGUGGACAGGGCAACAGAGAGCAGACCGCCACGCUCGGCUUCGGUCGAGGGUGGAAAGGGUGAAACGGUGCGGUAAGAGCGCACCAGCGCGGCGGGCGACCGUCGCGGCUGGCAACCCCCACCCGGAGCAAGGCCGAGCAGGCAGCGUCCGAGGACGGCCCGUCCGAGCUGCCGGGUAGGCCGCAUCGGGCCGGCGAACGGCCCGACGACGAUGUUCCGGCAUCGUCGAGAGAGAUGGUCGCCGGCGGGGCGUGAGCCCCGCGCACAGGAUCCGGCUUACAGGCCGGCUCCUCCA
rnacentral:RNase_P_RNA from 1 species